UUACCUUCACUUCAUUGCCACCCCAGAUCACAGUGCAUCCCGUUGUGUACGAGUCCAGGGACCUUGAGCGGCGCUCUUUGGAGAAGGGCCGGGCCCGGCCCGCCCGUUCCCGCCCGCUCCCCUGGCCGCCGCCGGACAAAUCGCUCUCCGCCGCGUGUGGGCCGGAGCGCGCGGCCGCCAGCGCCGCUGCAGGAACCGGUUCUGGUUCUGGCCGCGCUCCCCCCGCGGGGGCUGCUGUCAGGCGUGCGGCCGCGAUUGGCUGGGAGGCGGCAGUCACCCGCCCUGCCUCUGCCCGCGGCUAAUCAGCGCAGCCGUUGGCCGCAGCAGGUUCGGAGCGAGGUGCCCGCUGGUGUCAGACACCUGUCUCUGCUGGGCUCUGCCCCGCUGGCGCUGCUGGCUCCUGGGGAUUCUUUCCGGCCUGGACGCCACCUCUCCCAAGCCGCCGAGCCCCCCUCGGCGGGCCCAGCGGGGCCCAGGGUCCCCCUGCACAGGGAUGUCCAACAGACAGCUGAGGACAAUGAACAUGCUAGCUUAAGACGUCCUUAAGGUAAGUCCAUUUUAAACCAGAUAUUUCUCAACGUUGUAUGUGCCACCUCUAUCUGGACAGAAAGGCCGGUUUGGAGAAGGUACACUAAAGAGAGGUGGGGAAGUGUACUUGAGGCUGCUGUGAUGAAAUCAUCAAGUUAUUCGCCGUCAGAUGUGCUUUUGCAAAAUGAUACCAAGGCAUAACCAGGGAAGAUGGAAAUUUGGAUGAGGGUCCCGGACAAAUGGCUGCAACCCUGUCAGGCAAUUGACACCUCGUUGUGUACUCCUUCCUACUUGACCAGGAGCUCACAUGAAGGUAGAAUAGAGUAACUUUAAUUAGGGCCAGCACAUACGCUGUGUGUGGAUGGUAUACUAGAAAGUGAAGCUGAACAUUCUAGCUCCUUCCAUUCAUGCCACCCCAGCAUGGCUAGUCUCAUUCUAAUUACCACUUAUUUUUAAAGCUUCCUUGAACUUUUUUCUCUUGUAAUAUGAAAGCAGUCUUUCUUUUUAAAGAUUUGCUCAAUAUCAGGGAAUUUGUUCAACAUCGGGGAAUUAGUAAAUUAGUAGGGGGGGGGGGCAGGUUGAUUGUCUUGCUUCACUCCACUCAUCCUUAUGUUCAAGGGAGAGUCAGAUUCUUAAUGCUUGCACCCAAAUGUGAGCAACAGAUCCUUAGGAUUAUUAAGCCAUGAUUCUGAUGGACCUAAGUUCUGAUUUCAUUUUACUUGUAAGCUGAUUGACAAAUACAUCAAGGACCCUCCUGUCUUCCCCUUGGGUUGCUGUCAGCACAUUUGUCACUCUAGGAUUUAGUCAUCCAAGGUUGGUACAAAGACUAGUGGUUUGGGACUUUCUUGCUUACCAGUCCUGCCUGUUUUGCUCUGAGAGGGAGGAAGUAAUUUUCCUUUUGAUUUUUUUUUUUUUUUUAAUGAAAACGUGCUUUUAGUGAAUAAAGAUCUGUUUGUAAAUCCAAAGAGGUUCCGAGACUACUUUUCCCAUCUUAUUAAUUCCAAAACUAUAAACACCUACAUGAAACAAGGGUGUUUUCUAAUUCUGAAUGGCCUGUUCAAGUAGCAAGCAGUAACAGAGACCAAAUGGAGCUGGCGAUAAGCAUAUAUGAACCAUUCCCUUGAAAUCUAUGUUAAUCAUCCUGAAAUGUGUGUUUUUCUUCCAAUGUUCACAGCCAAUUGGAAAUUUCCAUCUUUCUCCUCUAACUCAUCUUUGUAAAAACAUUUUUUCUAUAAUAAGUUCAACAUGUCAGUAAUGCUAAAAAUGGCUGCUUUGAUGAAUAAAAGCAUCAGAAAUGACAGUCCCCAUUGAGUGAAAUGGGAUCAUCACACAAGUCUACAGCAAUCAUUUUAAAUAUAAUGUGCGUGCAAAUAGAGCAGAUGGUUGGUGGUAAAUGAAAAAUCAGAUUGGUUAGUAGGUAAAUACUAAGUGAAUUUAUAAAUAUUGAGAGAGUUAAAGGAGAAAUGGACUUUGGAAAGCUAAAUAAACGUAUUUAGCAUUGACUUACAUUUCAAAAUUCUAUAUUCGCUUAUGAAUUACAUCUAGAGAGUGUAUAAAUCAAAGAUUAUUUCCUGGUCUAAGGAUAAGUCAUUUUUGUAUGGGGAAGGAUAAAUACCACCUCAGCCCUAAUCACUACCUCAAAAAAAAAAAAAAAAAAAAAAAAGCCUAAAUACACUAUACACAAAAAACAACUCUGUGUCCUGAAGAGGUACAGGAAGGAAGAGAAAGCUAGUUGAAAAGCUUCUAUCGCUAGUUAAAAAG